rnacentral:rRNA from 1 species
AUUGAACGCUGGCGGCAGGCUUAACACAUGCAAGUCGAGCGAGCGGCGGACGGGUGAGUAAUGUCUGGGAAACUGCCUGAUGGAGGGGGAUAACUACUGGAAACGGUAGCUAAUACCGCAUACCAUCAGAUGUGCCCAGAUGGGAUUGGCUAGUAGGUGGGGUAAUGGCUCACCUAGGCGACGAUCCCUAGCUGGUCUGAGAGGAUGACCAGCCACACUGGAACUGGGCCACGGUCCAGACUCCUACGGGAGGCAGCAGUGGGGAAGAUUGCACAAUGGGCGCAAGCCUGAUGCAGCCAUGCCGCGUGUAUGAAGAAGGCCUUCGGGUUGUAAAGCACUUUCAGCGGGGAGGCGUUACUCGCAGAAGAAGCACCGGCUAACUCCGUGCCAGCAGCCGCGGUAAUUC